rnacentral:rRNA from 1 species
UCAGGCCUAACACAUGCAAGUCGAGCGGUAACAGGGGUAGCUUGCUACCCGCUGACGAGCGGCGGACGGGUGAGUAAUGCUUAGGAAUCUGCCUGGUAGAGGGGGAUAGCCCGGGGAAACCCGGAUUAAUACCGCAUACGCCCUACGGGGGAAAGCAGGGGAUCUUCGGACCUUGCGCUAUUAGAUGAGCCUAAGUCGGAUUAGCUAGUUGGUGGGGUAAAGGCCUACCAAGGCGACGAUCCGUAGCUGGUCUGAGAGGAUGAUCAGCCACAUCGGGACUGAGACACGGCCCGAACUCCUACGGGAGGCAGCAGUGGGGAAUAUUGGACAAUGGGGGAAACCCUGAUCCAGCCAUGCCGCGUGUGUGAAGAAGGCUUUCGGGUUGUAAAGCACUUUCAGUGAGGAGGAAGGCCUUGUCGCUAAUAUCGGCAAGGAUUGACGUUACUCACACAAGAAGCACCGG